AUGUUGGAGGGACAUACAUUGCUUAGUGAGAGACUCCUUUUCGUGACAGCCUGGGAUGGCAGAAGCUGGGCAUUGCUGACUGAAAUGAGCUUGCUGAGAGACUCCAGCCUCGUUGGACCCAACUUCCAUCUAAACCAGCCGAGCAGAGAAAUUGCCUGUUACCUUGGGUCGAUUUUUCAUGCACUCUUAAAUUGCUUUGUAUUGACACGCUGUCAGAAAUGGAUUGUCACAUUAACCCGCUGA
rnacentral:lncRNA from 11 species